rnacentral:lncRNA from 1 species
UAGUGGUGGAUACUGGCUCCAAUAGCCCCACAAGCAACCCUGUAGUUUGGAUUGAUUUUCUGUCUUAGGUCAAAAAGCAUCAAAUUAACCAAAUCAUCAAUUCUUUAAUUAAUGUCUGUUACUUUUAAGUAUAUGUUGUUAAUGAGGGCCCUCCUUAGUUAACAAAGUUUAAAAUAUUUGUGCAUUCUUUACAUAACUUGCUUUUAUACAACUCAAUAAGGGCAUCUCUAAUACAAGGGCAUGCACUGACCCAAUGACCCGCUAAUCCAUCUUGAUUUGGUUGAUGUUCUAUCUUAGAUCAAAAGGCACCAAAUCAUUCACGUCAUUAAUUGUUUGAUUAAUGUUUUUUACUUUUAAGUAUAUCUUGUUUAACGAUGGUCCUACUUAUUAGUUAGUUAAUAAAGUUAAAAAUAGUUGUGCAUUCUUUAUAUCACUUGCUUUCAUACAACUCAGUAAGGGCAUAUUCGACGUAGGGGUGGACACUGAUCCAAUGUCCAGCUAAUCCAACUUAGUUUGGUUGAUGUUCUGUCUUAAAUUAAAAGGCACCAAAUCACUCACGUCGUCAAUUAUUUGAUUAAUAUUUUUUAUUUUUAAGUAUAUCUUAUUAACGAGGGCCAUAAUUAUUAGUUAAUUAACAAAGCUUAAAUGUUUCUGCAUCAUUUACUUCAUCCGCUUUCAUACAACUUAACAAAGGCAUCUUUGAUGUAGGGGUGAACACUAAUCCAAUGACUCGCUCAGCUUUUUGAAAGGCUUGGAAUUGUUAUUUUGGCUUAUUAAGAGCAUCUCCAGCCCUAUUCUCUCCCUAUUCUGCCCCCAAAUAUUGGUUUAGGUAAUAAAAAAAAAAAAAAUCACCCUCCAACAAUUUUUCUAUAAUCUCUCUACUUUUAUUAAAAUAAUAUUUAUUUUUUAUACUAUUAAAUAAGACAAUUCCAUGUCUUAUUUACAUUUUUGCUUGUCAGUCUUCGAUUGUACAUAUCUGUGGCCUGUGGGCUACUAAUUGGGCCAUGAGUCCGAGUCAAGACCCCCCCUCCCAAAAAAAAAAUGAUUAAACGAGUGGUUGAUCUUAUGGAAAAAAGGAUACAGCUUUUCUGGAGUUUAAAAAUUGGACCUUAAGAAUUUAAUAUUGAAUACAAAAUCAAUAGUCAAUCAGUAUUAAUUUAUAUUAAAAGGUCAUACUCAUUUAUUAAAUUAUAAAACAGUAUUGAGCGAAUAUUGAUUUGUAUCCGAUUAGCAUGUUUUUUUAUAGUAUUGACGGAGUUUAAAAUAUGAACAGUUUAGAUCAUUAAAAUGAAACCCAAAAUUAUUGAAUUGCAUGGUUCAGUUCAAACAUUUAGACUGCCCAAAAAAUGAGAUAAUUUUAUUCUUUUAUUUGCCUAAUUAGGAGAAGAAAUUAAGUAGUUAAUGAAAAAAUAAUAUAUAUUGUUUUCUUGACCAAGUAUAAACAAGUACAUUUAUUUAGCAAAAUUUCAUUUUUUUUGUUUAUGAAAUAAGUAAAUAAAUAAAUGUGCAUAAUAAUAUCUUUUACUUUGAGUUUCAAGGGUACAAAAUUAAUUCUUAUUAUAUAUAUAUUUUUUUAAAGUUGUGCCAGAGUAUAUAGGCCAUAAACAACUUUAAUACGUCAAAAAAAAUCAAUUUUUUAAAUGUCCAAUUUUAAUAUUUUUUUCAACUUCUGUUAUUGAAUAAAAAGUAUUAAAAUUUUGUACUAUUUGUUUCAAAGAAAAGAUUCACAUGCUUUACCUUGUGAGUAUAGUUCAGUUUUUAAAUUAAAAUAAAAUAAUUAUAAUCUAUAAUUAUUUUCUAGCACCUUGGUGGUGGUUGCACAUAGACAUAUGUUUAUAUUAAACAUGUUUAUCCAAUAGUUUUAAUUAAGCAAUACAUGUAGGGUUGUAAGAGCAUCCACAUGGGCCUCAUUGAAGUGUUUGGUAUAAUUGAAUUUAUUUUAUAAUUAUUUAUUUAAAAGUAAAAGUUCAAAAUAUUCAAAAUAAAAUUUUUAAGAAUCAACUAUUUUUUAGAUUUUAUAAAUUAUUUUCGACCCUUAAUUAGAAACUGUGCCAAACACUUUGAUACAAAAUUUCAAAAACAGAAUAUAAGUUGCAUCUUAUAAACUCUACCCAACAUGCAUAAUAAGUUUAUUUUAGUUAGUCAUUUUUUAACACUGACUUUAUUCUAAUUUUAUUGCAUUAUAAUAUUAUUUAUUUACUGUUUGUUUAGUCUAUUCUCAAAAUUUUUUUCUCAACAGUUAUAUUUUUAAAAUGGUCACAUUACUCAAACGGUAAUAUUUUUAAAGAAUAUAUUUUUAAAAUAGUCAUAUUAUUCAAACGGUGGUAUUUUUUUAAAAGCAUAUAUUUUUAAAAACGGUCAUAUUUUUUUUUCAACCCUUAUAUUUUAAAUGGUUAUUUUAUGUGGACUUAUAGAAAGAGAUUACAUAACUUUUAAUUGAAAAAUAUACGGAUAAAAUGACUAAUUUUAAAAAAAUUAAUUGAUAUAAUUAAAAGUAAAAUGAUCUAAAAUAUAUAUUUUAGUUAAAUUAUAAGGGUGCAAAAUAUAAUUUAUUAUUUAAAUAGCAUAUGAAGAGUUGCUAGUCAAAUAUGACUAAACAAUGUAAUAAAUUUAUUUUUUAUGUCUAUUUUAACUAAGUUGAUUUGAAUCAUUUUUAGGAUUUUCAUUAGCUAAAUUAGCCAAAAAAUACUUUUAACUAACUUGAUGCACUUGAAAUUUAAUAUUUUUGGGCCACCUCCGGUCAAAACAUUUAAGUCUCGUUUGUUAACUUUUUAUAAGACGACUUUUAUCUAUUAGUAGUAGAAACUUAAAAGAUAAAAUUUAUAGUGCGACGAAUGUUACGUUCGGUUGUGAGAUAUAUUAUGAUCUGUGUGGUGAAUAUCUACAGGAGGUGUGUAUAUUAGAGUUGUAAAAAAAAUUAUGAAUUUUUUUUUACGAUCGGUUGCGAUGAAUAUUACAAUUAAUUGCAGUAAUGUUAUACUUGAGCGCACCAUAUACACACCAUUUUUUUGGUGUAUAUUGUAGUAACUCUCAAACUUAAAAGCUACAAGUAAUUUGAUUUGGUUUUCAAAUUAAAAUAUUAAAAAAAUAAUCAUGAGAACAAAAAAGCAAAUUUCAAAUAGAAGGAAACUCCCAAUAAAUUCCCAUGUUUUUUAUUUACUCUUUUGCUUGUCAGUCUUUGAUGUAAAUAUCUGUGGGGGCUAGGCAAUAUGAGUUGGUGUCGCCGAGCCCAUUUUCAAAACCCCACCACACUAAUUGGGGGCCAUGAUCCAGUCCAGGCCCAAUAAGUGACACCAUUUUAUAAUAUAGAAAUACUGUGAGUAUUCCACAUGCUUUGCAGCAUUUUUAGUUUAAUUUUCGUGAAAUUAUUUUAAUAUUUUUUAAUAUAUGAUUAUUAAAAAAAACAAAACAUAAAACUCCAUUGAACAAUUUGAUGAUGCUUUUUUUUUGUUAAAAAUAAUAUAAAAAAAUCCAACUCAAUUUGGUGGUUGUUCUUUCAGAUGUCAAAACCCACCAAACCACCGACGUAGUUAAUUCUUUAACUAAUGUUUUUUAUUUUUAAGUACAUCUUGUUAAUGAGGGCCCUAAUUACUAGUUAUUUAACAAAGUUUUUAAAUAUUUGUGCAUUUUUUACAUCACUUACUUUUAUACAACUCAAUAUAGGCAUCCCUAGUAUAGGAGUUAACACUGACUCAAUGGCCCGUUAAUCCAAAUUGGUUUGAUUGAUAUUCUAUCUUAAGUCAAAAAAUGCCAAAUCACCCACAUCAUUAAUUAUUUAAUCAAUUUCAUUUAUUUUUAAGAAUAUGUUGUUAACGAGGGCCCUCAUUUCUAGUUAGUUAACAAAGUUUAAAAUAUUUGUGCACUCUUUUACCUCACUUGCUUUUAAACAACUCAAUAAGGGCAUCUCUAGUAUAGGGGUGGAUGCUAGCCCAAUGACCUACUAAUCCAACUUGGUUUGGUUGAUGUUCUGUCUUAGAUCAAAAGGCGUAAAAUCACUCACGUUACCAAUUAUUUGGUUAAUGUCUUUUACUUUUAAGUAAUUAUUGUUUACGAGAGUCCUAACCUAUUUAGUUACAAAUUUAAAUUUUUGUGCAUUCGUCUUUAUAGCACUCCCCCUCGCUUCAUACAAUUUCAUAAGGCAAUCUUCAACGUAGGGGUGUGCACUGUCCCAAUGGCCAGCUAAUCAAACUUGGUUUGGUUGAUGUUCCGUCUUAAAUCAAAAGGUGCCAAAUCACCCACAUCGUCAAUUAUUUUAUUAUUGUAUUUUAUUUUUAAGUAUAUCUUAUUAAUGAAGCCCUAAUUAUUAGUUAGUUAACAGAGUUUAAAAUAUUUUCUGCAUCAUUUACGUCAUUUGCUUCCGUACAACUCAAUAAGGACAUCUUCGAUGUAGGGGUAGCCACUGACCCAAUGGCCUGCCCAACUUUUUAAGGGUUUGGAAUUAUUAUUUUGGCUUAUUAAGAGCAUCUUCAACCCUGCUCCCUCCCUAUUCUGCCCCCAAUUAUUGGUUUAGGUAAUCAAAUUUUUUUUUCACCCUCCAACAAACUUCCUAUAAUCUCUCUACUAUUACUAAAAUAAUAUUUAUUUUUAUAUUAUUCAGCAUGACGGAAGGGAGGAAGGAGGUAAACAGUAUGACCCCCUAAAAGCUACGAGUAAUUUGAUUGGUUCAAAAUUAGGAAAUAUUAAAAAAUUAACAAAAAAAGCAAUUUAAAAGUUAGGAAUCUAAACAAUUCCAUGUUUUAUUUACAUUUUUGCUUGUUACAUAUAUGUGGGCUAUGAAAUAUGAGCUGGUGUCUUCUAAGCCCAUUUCAAAACCCAAAGACACUAAUUGGCCAUGAGUCCGAGUCAAGGCCCAAUUAGUAACACAAUUUUAUUACAAUGGAGUAAUACUGUGAGUAUUCUACAUGCUUUGCAGCAUUUUUAUUUUAUUUUUUCAUGAAAUUAUUUUAUUAUUUUUAAAUAUAUGAUUAUUAAAAAACAAAACAAAAAACUCCAAUUGAACA